GACGAACGCUGGCGGCGUGCUUAACACAUGCAAGUCGAACGGAAAGGCCCUGCUUUUGUGGGGUGCUCGAGUGGCGAACGGGUGAGUAACACGUGAGUAACCUGCCCUUGACUUUGGGAUAACUUCAGGAAACUGGGGCUAAUACCGGAUAGGAGCUCCUGCUGCAUGGUGGGGGUUGGAAAGUUUCGGCGGUUGGGGAUGGAAUCGCGGCUUAUCAGCUUGUUGGUGGGGUAGUGGCUUACCAAGGCCUUGACGGGUAGCCGGCCUGAGAGGGUGACCGGCCAAAUUGGGACUGAGAUACGGCCCAGACUCCUACGGGAGGCAGCAGUGGGGAAUAUUGCACAAUGGGCGGAAGCCUGAUGCAGCAGCGCCGCGUGCGGGAUGACGGCCUUCGGGUUGUAAACCGCUUUCGCCUGUGACGAAGCGUGAGUGACGGUAAUGGGUAAAGAAGCACCGGCUAACUACGUG
rnacentral:rRNA from 1 species